CGUAACAAGGUUUCCGUAGGUGAACCUGCGGAAGGAUCAUUACUGAGUGAGGGCCCUCUGGGUCCAACCUCCCACCCGUGUUUAUUAUACCUUGUUGCUUCGGCGGGCCCGCCGUAAGGCCGCCGGGGGGCUUCUGCCCCCGGGCCCGCGCCCGCCGAAGACAUCUCGAACUCUGUCUGAAGAUUGUAGUCUGAGUAUAAAUAUAAAUUAUUUAAAACUUUCAACAACGGAUCUCUUGGUUCCGGCAUCGAUGAAGAACGCAGCGAAAUGCGAUACGUAAUGUGAAUUGCAGAAUUCAGUGAAUCAUCGAGUCUUUGAACGCACAUUGCGCCCUCUGGUAUUCCGGAGGGCAUGCCUGUCCGAGCGUCAUUGCUGCCCUCAAGCACGGCUUGUGUGUUGGGCCCCGUCCUCCGAUCCCGGGGGACGGGCCCGAAAGGCAGCGGCGGCACCGCGUCCGGUCCUCGAGCGUAUGGGGCUUUGUCACCCGCUCUGUAGGCCCGGCCGGCGCUUGCCGAUCAACCAAAUUUUUAUCCAGGUUGACCUCGGAUC
rnacentral:rRNA from 1 species